AGCUCCAAUAGCGUAUAUUAAAGUUGUUGCAGUUAAAAAGCUCGUAGUUGGAUUUCUGGUGGGAGCGCCCGGUCGUCCCCGAGAGGGGUUGCACUGGUGGCGUCUCCGGCCAUCCUCGGGAGGAGCUCGUCUGGCAUUAGGUUGUCGGGCGGGUGAUGCUCGUCGUUUACUGUGAACAAAUUAGAGUGUUCAAAGCAGGCUUAGGCCGUUGAAUACAUUAGCAUGGAAUAAUGAGAUAGGACUUUGGUGGUCUAUUUUGUUGGUUUGCACGCCGAAGUAAUGAUUAAUAGGAGCGGUUGGGGGUAUUCGUAUUCAAUUGUCAGAGGUGAAAUUCUUGGAUUUACGGAAGACGAACUACUGCGAAAGCAUUUACCAAGGAUGUUUUCAUUAAUCAAGAACG
rnacentral:rRNA from 1 species